CACCAUCCAGUGCAAGGUGGCAGCAGCCCUCGACUUCAGGAGGGCGGACUCUAAUGAGGCAUCUAUCCUCAGAAAAGGACUCUUCAAGCUGUGGAGCCCAAGUGAACAACAGCACCUAACUCCGGACAAAAGGACUGCUGUCUCUACCCGAACCAUGAUCCACAUUCUUCUCACCUAGACAGUUCAAGCUUUCACUCCUCAAGCUUCACAUCCAAUAUCCUUGCCUAAGCAGUCUUGUCUUCCCAACAUUUUCCCUGUCCUAGCCCUGCUCACUCACAAUCCUUUCCCCCCCUCGCCCAACUCCCAUUCUCCUUGUCCAAUUUCUGCCUUCCAUCUCUACAUCAGAUCUUGCUCCCUCUAUCCUGGUCUUCAGUCACUCCUGUGCUCAUACUCUCUGUCCUUACUAGACCCAGUCUCUCUCCUAGAUAUUCAUCCCUCUGCUUCAAAAUCUUAGUCUCUCCUACUGCAACUCCUAGUUUCCCUUUCAGCCCCACUAGCCUCCCCCUUCCCAGGAACCUCAUACAAGAAGGAAGACAAGCCUGCAUACGUGCUAAAUGGGGGGACAUCUAGUCUGUAGAUCUCAGUGGGAUUUGGGCUUACUCCUUUUCUCCUGGUUCCAGUACCCUGAUCCCUGCAAUUGCAGGGAAAAUCCUCCUCGGUCCCAGGCUGGAGCACGUUCUGUGUGUAGCAUCUCCAAAUAGAUUUUAGCUGCAAAGGUUUAUCAACUCUCUGCUGCUUCUGAAGCUUUUGCGAAGGCUUUAGGCAAAUUGAGUAUAUUUUCAUAGUGGGAAGAUGGUCAGUGAGUGAGGGGUGGCGUGAAAAAGGUGGCUGCAAACAGAAAAUGGUGGGAAGCCCUGGCAUCCUGAAGCAUGGGGGCCCAGGGCAGGGGGUGGAGGGAAGGGAGGAAGUGAGA